GACGAACGCUGGCGGCGUGCUUAACACAUGCAAGUCGAACGGAAAGGCCCUGCUUUUGUGGGGUGCUCGAGUGGCGAACGGGUGAGUAACACGUGAGUAACCUGCCCUUGACUUUGGGAUAACUUCAGGAAACUGGGGCUAAUACCGGAUAGGAGCUCCUGCUGCAUGGUGGGGGUUGGAAAGUUUCGGCGGUUGGGGAUGGACUCGCGGCUUAUCAGCUUGUUGGUGGGGUAGUGGCUUACCAAGGCUUUGACGGGUAGCCGGCCUGAGAGGGUGACCGGCCACAUUGGGCCUGAGAUACGGCCCAGACUACUACGGGAGGCAGCAGUGGGGAAUAUUGCACAAUGGGCGGAAGCCUGAUGCAGCAACGCCGCGUGCGGGAUGACGGCCUUCGGGUUGUAAACCGCUUUCGCCUGUGACGAAGCGUGAGUGACGGUAAUGGGUAAAGAAGCACCGGCUAACUACGUG
rnacentral:rRNA from 1 species